rnacentral:hammerhead_ribozyme from 1 species
GCACUGUUGACGAGUCCCAAAUCGGACGAAGCAGCUGCCCAGUGC